rnacentral:rRNA from 1 species
UCGGGAAUUUUGGGCAAUGGGCGAAAGCCUGACCCAGCAACGCCGCGUGAAGGAUGAAGUAUUUCGGUAUGUAAACUUCGAAAGAAUAGGAAGAAUAAAUGACGGUACUAUUUAUAAGGUCCGGCUAACUACGUGCCAGCAGCCGCGGUAAUACGUAGGGACCAAGCGUUGUUCGGAUUUACUGGGCGUAAAGGGCGCGUAGGCGGCAAUUCAAGUCAUCUGUGAAAUCUCCGGGCUUAACUCGGAACGGUCAGAUGAUACUGCUUUGCUAGAGUGCAGAAGGGGCAAUCGGAAUUCUUGGUGUAGCGGUGAAAUGCGUAGAUAUCAAGAGGAACACCUGAGGUGAAGACGGGUUGCUGGGCUGACACUGACGCUGAGGCGCGAAAGCCAGGGGAGCAAACGGGAUUAGAUACCCUGGUAGUCCCUGAGCGGGCUGGCAAGGCGCAU